GGCUACAUGUAGUCUACAGAUAGGUCUUUCUCAGCAAAAAGGUUCUGAGCUUCAGAUGCUGAUCCAAGGAUGUUCAGAGGAAUCAGAUAGAGAAACAAGAGAAAGCUUGGAGGAUCUUGGACUAGUACUUCACCUUGGAGAUACAACUUGGGACUUUGACCUGGGACUCUGGAUGGUGGACUUCUUCUGGGUCCUUGAGAACUGCAGGCAUCCGAAAUUUCAUCACAACCUCCUGAGGAGCUUCUCUGAAUUUAGCUCAUCUGGAUUCCAAGACAACAGACCUGUAGAUCAUUGCCAAGGUCAUCUUUGGAACUUCUCUAGCUUGAUGGAGACUUCCAAAGUUUGCCCUGUCUCAGAAAAACCUUCAAGAAUCCAUGGCCACUUCAACCCCCCCAAUAAGGUUUUUGGGGAAGAUAUUAAUGGAAAAUAAUUUAAAGGGUAUUCUAAAGUGUUAUGUGUUAUUAUUGUGAUUGACCAUAAUUAUCAACAUUAAACCAGAUUUGUCUAACUUCUGUAUCUGUUUGA
rnacentral:lncRNA from 1 species